ACCCCACCCCAGACCCCAGAGCCUCAGGGCAGCUGCACAACUGUGCUUUCUUUGGUUAUAAAAGCAAGCUUGUGACAUCCUUCGCCAGAUUCUGUUAAAAACAGAAUUAAUUAGAGUCAACUCAGCAACUCCACUGAGGGCAGUGAUGACUGGGAAAUCGUUUAGAGAGAGAGAAGGGAGUAAGAUUAGAGUCUUCAGGACGCUUAGAGUCUACUGUGUGGUGUGCCACCUGGGUAGCAAGUAAGAUGCGCCCUGAGAUAGGCUAUCACCACAUUAGAAAGAGAUGGGUGCAAAUGUUUUAGAAAAUUCUGCACAGCUCUACAGCAGAGGGCUUUUGUGGCUGAUGAUGAGGAUGGAAGAGAAGGCAGCAUUUCAGUUGACAGGCAGAGUAGGGACAAAGGCAGAGAGGGCUACAUGGAGUGACCAUAGAUACUCUGGAUUGAAUGAUGUCCAAAGUGCCCAUCUAAGAGGGGAGGAAGGCCCAGGGGAAGCUGGAAUGAAAGGUCUUGGGGUUGGAAAUGGGCCAAUGAAACCCUACAGCUAGGUGAAAACUUCCAAAGACCUAAGAGAAUACUUUCACUUCAGAGAGGGGUCCACGGAGGCCACAGAGAUGCCGUGACUUCUCCAGAUGAUGGAGAGACUGGUCUACAGUGUGGGGAGUGCAGAGGGAUGGUGUAGGAGUUCGAGAAGGGUACCAGAAGAGGGAGGAGGGACGGCUGUGGACGGGCUCUUAGCAGACACAAAGGCAGCAUCAUGGACAGAUGUGGAUGUCACAGAAAGUGAGGGUCAGAUGACACCGAGGCUUGAAUCCCGAGCAACGAAGACCAAUCAGAAGAAAUGGAGAGAAGAGAUCAGUCUUGGCUGCUCUAAGGAUGGACCCGUGUUCUGUUUUAGCUUUUAUUCCUUACUUGUCCUAAGCUGACAUCCACAGAGGAACAGCACCUGGGAGCUCCUCAGGACACACUGGCACUAAAGCAUGUCUUCCCCACAAGUGAGUGACAGCCUGGAUGGACCCUGAUGGCUGUUUCAGGUCCCCAGACACAAGAACAACACAGGGGCAAAGCCAGGCGCGGCUGAAUGGCAACCGCAGAUACUGAGGGGAACUGGGUGCAGGUCACGGACUGAAAACGGCCCUAGGCCAAGUAUGAGGAAGACAACUAACAGGAAGGGACCAGGCUGCCUUCUAGAAGCAUGGUCACAGACUUUCUGUUUAUGGACCGUCACACACACAGGUCAACGGCGGCUUCCCGAGGAAGGAACCUUUAAAGCUGAAGAUCACGGUCUGACUCAGUAGGGGGAGCAGCUUUUGAAAGACAUCAGACACCUCCAAGACAGUGCCUUGGCAUCUCCUCUCUAGCCUAGGGCCUAAGUAUAUAUUCUUUGUGUUAGACAUAGUAAUGAGUUAUUUUGAUGAGGGACAGGAUUGGGUUAUGAAUUGUCAUUGAAGCAAUUUAUGCAGUAUUGAAUUAUUUCAACAGAGACAACACAUUUGGUAAAUGCCUACUAUAUCCAGACACAGAAAACUACUUAGGAGAGUCUCUUCUAUGCCUAGAAAAGCUCCCUGUCUCCCUGACGGGAUAUGCAAGGCACAACGAUGCUUGGGGACUCUGUUUGCACAGAGCACAUGAUUUUAUUUAGGAAAUAUUACCAUAUAAAUGCACACAGUCACAACAUAGCAGCAAAGUGACAAUUACAAUAAAAAAAAGUGUUGUAAGUGGUCUUUUAGAGAGACAUGGUCCCUGUGGGACCUUUACUCACUCUCCAUUUAUUACCAUAUUAAAGACUGGACAUUGAUGUGGUGUUUAGUGGGGAUAUGGAGCAUAGACAGCCUUGUCUCUCACACUCCCCUUCCACAGUGGUGGAGACUGGACAUUUGAUAGGACAGGCAGUCUCAUGAUCACUGCCGCUGCGUAGAUGCUGUGCCGUGAAACAAUGUCCCUGAGGGAGACCCCCGGCUAACUGUCUGCAAUGCUGUGACCUGCCCGGAGCAAACCUUCUGGACCCGAGAACAGGAGGAGAAAUUUGGCCACUAAUGGGGACACAUGGGUGGGGUCUGGGAAAGGAGAAGAUGGGAGUAAAGACAGCAGAGGCCGAAUGGGAUGGCUGCAGGCCACGUGCUGGAAUUAAAGGAGCAUGAGUUAGGAUGUAUGCAGGAGGAUGACUCCAACUUCUGCAGCAGUAAGAGGAUGCACUCAGGGGCUGGACCAUGGGAUCACAUGUGGGGUCCCUACUCCUCAGCCUGGGGUGGGAAUGAGAAGAAUCCUGAAUGCAUGUGGCGGGAGCAGUGGGAGGGGAGUGGGAGAGAACCUCUCCAUAGCAGCAGGACUGAGAGGACUGACUGGACAUGGUGGGAACAGCAUCCACGAUGGGGCUGGUGCUCCAGAACAGGGAGGGCAACAGACGUGCCUCCUUACACACACUGGGCACACAAUGGGAAGGGUAGGUGUGCAAAGGGAGCCAGGAAUUCAACUCUAGCCAUUUGGGCUUGGGGGUGACUAAAACGUAGUUGAAGAUAUGGACUUGGUGACUGAGGGAGAAUGGAGCUUCAGGAAAACAGAUUUGGGAAGUACUGACAUGGAGUGAAAUGGCAACCUUACCCAAGUGGUGGUGGGGGGUCAAUUACUGGGGAGCCACUGUAACUACUGAGCAGGUGGAGAAAGAAGAGGGUGAGAAUGCGGGAAGAAUAAAAAUAAAAAAUAAUGUAAAACAAUAAAAAUAAUGGGGAACAGAUGGUAUGAGUGCCCAGCAAACAUGCAAAUCACCCUCUCUACACACCGAGGGCAUGGAGGGUGGAGGCUGAUUAAACACACCCUGUUUGAUCAAUCAGAGGUGGACCAGAACAGUCCCUCCAGAAGAACUGAGUAGUUCCUAGAGAUUUUCGUAGUUGAAUUGUAUCAAGCUAAACUGAUGUAAGGGAGUGCUGUCAAAUUGUAGCCCGUGAGCUGGGUGGGGCUGGAGUUAUCCUACAGUUGAGGUAGAAAGAUGUACCUGCCUGCAGCUGGCUCCAGUGGGCUACAAGAUAGACUAUGCCAAGGUAAGAAUUCCUGGGAAUAGACACAUGGAAUCAAGACCUAAAUUCUUAGUAAGAAUAUAAAGCAACAGUGAUUGAAGCACAGACAUACAAGAUGGGUCAUCUACCAGACUAGCAAGCUCCAUGCCGAAGAGACAGGUAGAGUUAGAGCAUAAGACGUGUGUGUGUGUGUGUGUGUGUGUGUG